ACAGAGGGUGCGAGCGUUAAUCGGAAUUACUGGGCGUAAAGGGCGCGUAGGCGGCCAGCACAAGUCAGUUGUGAAAUCUCCGGGCUUAACUCGGAAAGGUCAAUCGAUACUGCAGGGCUAGAGUGCAGAAGGGGCAACUGGAAUUCUCGGUGUAGCGGUGAAAUGCGUAGAUAUCGAGAGGAACACCUGCGGCGAAGGCGGGUUGCUGGGCUGACACUGACGCUGAACUGCGAAAGCUAGGGGAGCGAACGGGA
rnacentral:rRNA from 1 species